UUUACUGCAAUUUAUUCUAUUUUUUUCAUUAAUCAUGUCAAGUCUUUUUGAUGACAUUAAUCCACCUUGUCCUCAAGUCUUAAUUUCUCCUUUAGUGUAAAUAUCCAUACUACUUGUUGUGGAGUGCCAAUCUCCUCUGUCAUGAUUUUCAGAGAAUAGAUUAAAGUCUGGUAAAGCUUUUAUUGAUGUAAAGUCCAACUCUCUCUUCUUCAGGUCUGUGUAGGUCUCUAGAUGGCCAUAAUAAAGUGGAAAAACUAGGCACCACUUUGAAGAGGAACAGCACACAGUGACAUGUUUGAAGUUCAUCAUCAGGCAAAACACAAAGGUUGAUGCUGCGUUCAUACACUGGAGCACAGUGUUCCCGACUGAAACCCCAGUGCUGUCUGUUUCAAAGAGGAUGCUGCAAUCUGGUAACAGCGUUUGAUAACAGCCAAUAUGGAUUCAGAUCAGAAUUGACUGGGGAGAUGAUUCAAUGAGUCCUUUUCAUGACCAGUGAAGCCCAAGUUCACAAGGGCCUGACAAUCCCUCUGAGCUUUGUGACCAAGAAGAUAAGAGUGGCAGCUUGGAUGAAGAUUACAUCCCCCCUCUCUGUAUCGAUAUGUGUCAGUGGCUGUCUGUGUCUCUUUGGCAAGCAGGCCAUUGUGCACAGUACUUCACAUAUACCACCACUAAAAAUGACUCCUGUAACAUCAUUAACAUCGUCUAUGCUGAUGUAGAAAGAGGCCUUCAUACAAACACUGAACAAACUCCUGCCUGAGAUCUCGCUGAAGGAAAUCUGCAGACGCUCAUGUUCAAAUCCAUGCCAUAAUGCGCAGGAAUGAGGACUGAUCAAUCAGAGAUCUUGCCGUGGCUAAAGGACAUCAAAGGACCAGAAGAAAAUAGCGGUGAGGAAAAUAAGGGCU